UCCCUGAUGGUCUAGUGGUAUGAUUCCUCGUUCGGGUCGAGGAGGUCUCCGGUUCGAUCCCGGAUCAGGGCC
rnacentral:tRNA from 1 species